GUUACACCACAGUGAUCACACACACACACACACACACACACACACAGUUGUGGUGUUUGCAUAUGUGUGCUGUGUCAGUGCUGCACACACUUUAAGAGCUGUAGUGCUGAUCAGAGUGUGUUCAGUCCUUUCAGAGCCACUGACACGCAGCACAAUGAUGAUGGUACUGAUUCUACUGCUGGGGACACUGGGACUCCUCGCUCACCAGUCCUUUGGGGAAAUCGUCCUGACUCAGUCUCCAGGAUCUCAGUCUGUUUCUCCAGGACAAUCUGUUACUCUCACCUGUAGAGCCAGUCAGACUGUUAGCAAUGACCUCCACUGGUACCUGCAGAAACCUGGAGAAGCUCCUAAACUCCUGAUCUAUAAUGAUGUUACACGGUACACUGGGGUUCCAGAUCGUUUCAGUGGCAGUGGAUCUGGUUUGCAAUUUAGUCUAAAAAUCUCUGGAGUUCAGCCUGAAGAUGCAGGAGAUUAUUACUGUCAGCAGAGUGAGACACGGCCGUACACACAGUGUUAUAGCGUGGUACAAAAACCUCCCUCAGCUGUAGAGGAAGUGCUCUGACUCAGAAACACACACUGAUCUGAGAACAGCUGCAGAGCUGCUAAAGCUGCACUCCACUGAACAUCAACUACAAACCACUACAGCACUGAGAAUUUUUCUCUUUUCUCUGGAUUUACCAGACAAUUGUGUUCACAUUAGGAAUGUCCUGUUUCACACCAUGUACCAAAGAUGUACAAGUUAGCACCUAAGGGUUCCAGCAAGAAGGUUGUAAUGUAUUCCCCUUCUCUCAGCGCAUAUUGUGAGACUACGGUGGUGGAUCUCUGACCCACUAGGAGGGCCUGGGGGCAUUCUCCCCAUAAGAAAAUUUAGUAAGAAAAUUGUGUACAUUAUAAAGUUAAAUGCAUCAAUGUGGUCCACUUUGAGAGCAAAAUUAAGAGGCUAGAUCUAUGGAGAACUUUGCGUUCUUGUAAAGAAUUGUGUGCUCUACUAGUAGUUUGAUCAUGACAUUGGUUGUAUAGAUAUGAACGGUGAUGACACGGUAAACAAUUCACACCCAUAAAGCCUGGUAAACGAGAGAGAGUUUAACGUAGUUCACAAACUUGACUAGAGCAAACAAUUGAGGCAUCAAAGAAAUGGAGUAUAAGUGGUUACCUGUGUUGAACUGGUUUAUUUUUUAGAAAAUAUAAAUAUAUACUGGAUGAGGAGGACAUGGUAUUGAUCAACUCUCCCUACGUCCCUAUUGGAAAACUUUAAUUUCCUGGGCUUUAAGUAAAAGAGUUCCAAUGUCCUUUUGUGACUGACUUGGAGUGAGAGAUGCUUUGCCAUUAUUAUGAGAAGUGUAAAAAUAUUUUAGUUCAUUAUGAAACUGUGGCUGGACAAAUUAGUCUGUGACGGGCCGCCGUAGUCUAGGUAAUUAAUGGGAAACACUGAAUUUG